AAGCACCUAUUGCUUUUCCGGCCCCAAAUCUGACUUUAGGAGAAAAGGCAAUAGAAAAGAAGUGGACACCCCAUGUACACCUCAACCCAGGCCCUUUGCCUGAUCUGUAUUGUGAAUUGGGGGACAAAA